AUGCAAUAUGGACUGUGCCUGUGUGUGCACACAGAAACACAGAAACACAAACACACACAGAAACACAUGCAGAAACACAAACACAUACAGAAACACACAGAAACACAAACACAUACAGAAACACACAGAAACACAAACACAUACAGAAACAUACAUAGAAACACACACACAGAAACACAAACACAUACAGAAACAUACACAGAAACACACAAACACAUACAGAAAAACACACAGAAACACACAUACAGAAAUAUACACAAACACAUGCAGAAACAAACAUACAGAAACAUACACAGAAACACAAACACAGAAACACACACAGAAACACACAAACACAGAAACAUACACAGAAACACACACAGAAACACAUGCAGAAACAAACAUACAGAAACAUACACAGAAACAAACACAUACAGAAACACACACAGAAACACAAACACAUGCAGAAACACACACAGAAACACAAACACAUACAGAAACACACACAGAAACAAACACAUAAACACACACAGAAACAUACACAGAAACACAAACACAUACAGAAACACACACAGAAACACAAACACAGAAACACACACAGAAACAAACAUACAGAAACAUACACAGAAACACAAACACAUACAGAAACACACACAGAAACACAAAGAAACACAAACACAGAAACACACACAGAAACAAAAACACAUACAGAAACAUACGCAGAAACACAGACACACACACAGAAACACGGAAACACACAGGAACACAAACACAUACAGAAACACACAGAAACACACACAGAAACACACAGAAACAUACACAGAAAUACAAACACAUACAGAAACACACACAGAAACACAAGCACAGAAACACACACAGAAACAAAAACACAUACAGAAACAUACACAGAAACACAAACAUACAGAAACACACACAGAAACAAAAACACAUACAGAAACACAGAAACACAAAGAAACACAAACACAUACAGAAACAUACACAGAAACACAAACACAUACAGAAACACACACAGAAACACAAACACAUACAGAAACACACACAGAAACAAAAACACAUACAGAAACACACACAGAAACAUACACAGAAACAAACACAUACAGAAACACACACAGAAACAAAAACACAUAUAGAAACAUACACAGAAACACAAACACAUACAGAAACACACACAGAAACACAAACACAUACAGAAACACACACAGAAACACAAACACAUACAGAAACACAGAAACACACACAGAAACACACACAGAAACAUACACAGAAACACACACAGAAACAUACACAGAAAAACACAUACAGAAACACACACAGAAACAGAAACACAUACAGAAACACACACAGAAACAUACACAGAAACACAAACACAUACAGAAACACACACAGAAACACAAACACAGAAACACACACAGAAACAAAAACACAUACAGAAACAUACACAGAAACACAAACACAUACAGAAACACACACAGAAACACAAAGAAACACAAACACAGAAACACACACAGAAACAAAAACACAUGCAGAAACAUACGCAGAAACACAGACACACACACAGAAACACGGAAACACACAGGAACACAAACACAUACAGAAACACAAACACAUACAGAAACACACACAGAAACACAAACACACACACAGAAACACAAACACACACACACACAGAAACACAAACACAUACAGAAACACAGAAACACAAACACAGAAACACACAUCCCUCAGAAACCCAGACAAACAUGUGCAAUGCAUACCUGCCUGUCUUCACAACCACACCCACCUUGGGCAAAAGUGUGGGCAGUAGACAGGCAGCAUGUGAAGACACCACUGUAG
ensembl:lncRNA